AGGAAAGAGACGACUGCGGACAUCAUCGGCAUUGUCCUCUGAGACUGAAUAGCUUGUGAACAUUGUCCAGGAUCUUUCCAGUGUGGAUUGCAAACCUGACUGAGAGUCUUACAAAGACAGUCGUUCUGAGAACUCAUUUUGACCCUAAUAUGAACCAAGCAUGCAUUGGAAAUUACACAUAUCGCUCACGGUGAGUUCACUGAAUAGAACAGGAUUACUGUCAUAAAGAAUUAUACAGUCAUAUAUUAUACAGAAAGAGUCCAUUUGAGUUUGAUUUGUUGUUAUCACAUGUACCAAGAUACAGUGAAAAGUGCUGUUUUACGUGCUAUACAGGAAGAUCGUACUAUACAAAAUGCAUCAAGGUAGCAGA